rnacentral:rRNA from 1 species
AACGAACGCUGGCGGCAGGCUUAACACAUGCAAGUCGAGCGCCUCGCAAGAGGAGCGGCAGACGGGUGAGUAACGCGUGGGAAACUACCCCGAGGUACGGAACAACUCGGCGAAAGCUGAGCUGAUACCGUAUGUGACCGAGAGGUGAAAGAUUUAUCGCCUCGGGAUGUGCCCGCGUAGGAUUAGCUAGUUGGUGGGGUAAUGGCCCACCAAGGCGACGAUCCUUAGCUGGUCUGAGAGGAUGAUCAGCCACACUGGGACUGAGACACGGCCCAGACUCCUACGGGAGGCAGCAGUGGGGAAUAUUGGACAAUGGGCGCAAGCCUGAUCCAGCCAUGCCGCGUGAGUGAUGAAGGCCUUAGGGUUGUAAAGCUCUUUCGCCCGCGAAGAUAAUGACGGUAGCGGGAGAAGAAGCCCCGGCUAACUUCGUGCCAGCAGCCGCAGUAAGAC